rnacentral:rRNA from 1 species
UACGUAGGCAGCGAGCGUUGUUCGGAGUUACUGGGCGUAAAGAGCGUGUAGGCGGUCCGGUAAGUCCGCUGUGAAAGUCGGGGGCUCAACCCUCGAAUGCCGGUGGAUACUGUCGGGCUAGAGUGCGGAAGAGGCGAGUGGAAUUCCUGGUGUAGCGGUGAAAUGCGCAGAUAUCAGGAGGAACACCUAUUGCGAAGGCAGCUCGCUGGGACGUAACUGACGCUGAGACGCGAAAGCGUGGGGAGCAAACAGG